rnacentral:rRNA from 1 species
CCUACGGGUGGCAGCAGUGGGGAAUAUUGCACAAUGGGGGAAACCCUGAUGCAGCAACGCCGCGUGAGUGAUGACGGCCUUCGGGUUGUAAACUUCUGUCUUCAGGGACGAUAAUGACGGUACCUGACGAGUAAGCAACGGCUAACUACGUGCCAGCAGCCGCGGUAAUACGUAGGUGGCGAGCGUUAUCCGGAUUUACUGGGCGUAAAGGGAGCGUAGGCGGGAUGUUAAGUGAGAUGUGAAAUACUAGGGCUCAACUUGAGAGCUGCAUUUCAAACUGGUAGUCUAGAGUGCAGGAGAGGAGGAUGGAAUUCUUGGUGUAGCGGUGAAAUGCGUAGAGAUUAAGAAGAACACCAGUGGCGAAGGCGAUUCUCUAGACCGUAACUGACGCUGAGGCUCGAAAGCGUGGGGAGCAAACAGGAUUAGAUACCCCUGUAGUC